UUGUCUCUUCUUCAUAGCUGUGUCUGAGUCCCUUUGCUGAUCUGAGUGCUGUCCCUCAAACAGGGUGUCUUGUGUCUUAUUUGUCUUAAGAUAAAUAAACCCAUCAUUUUCUCAGGGGCAAUGUGAAAGAAGUAAAGGAGGAAAUUCAAGUGCAAGAAGCAGAAGAAGGAUGAAACAGGAGAGGGUUUUCUUUUCAGAAAAAUGA
rnacentral:lncRNA from 1 species